GCCCGGCGGCCUCUGCCGGGGCCGGGUGCUUCGCCGCCUGCCAGAACUUUUCCCCCUGAUACUCCCUCCAGGGGAGGCCCAACGGGACCGGCUGUGCUGCAGGGAAUACCCUGUCCUUUUGCUUCCCUCACAGGCAGUCAUGUUCUGAGUGUUUCUGGAGCUGCCUGAGGAUUGCCACAGCGCUUGAGCAAUCGCGCGCGGCCAGGAGGGGAACUCCGGCAGCCACAGGUCGGUGAGGAACGAGCGGGCUCCUGCCAGACCGCAAAUCCCAGAGCGCAGCCGGGGAGGGCUGUUUUCAGCAGAAAAACACGAGUUUGUCAAAAACAAACCUCUCUGCAGGAGCUCUAGGAUGAAAUUGCAUGCCAUAUACCCCGGUUUAUUGCCUCCGGGGCAUUAGCCGUUGGCAGGAUAUUUUGGCUAAUAUUUGACAGCCUGAGCAUUCGUCCCUGAACAUUCUCAGCAGGACAGUUUGCCGACCACUCCCUCCAGCCCUGUCGAACAGCAUUUGCAAUGGAUCUUCCAAGCAGAUGACCAAGUCCUGAAUCCCUCAAGCCAAAGGAACACAGAAUAUGCAUUGGCUGCUCUUGGCAGGGUAAGACCCAAAUCAGUUACUCAGGAGGUAAGGAAGUAGAAAAAUUAAUUGUAAAUGUUCUUUAGUACAUUGUUAGAAAUAGACUAUACUGUUCCUAAAAGUUAUGAGUAGUGAGUUUUAAGAUAGAUGUACUAUCAAAAAAGGGUGUAUCAGUGUAUUCCCCAAAAUAAGGAAAGAAUUUGGAACUCUGUGUGUGGGGAGUGUGGUUGUAAGGCAAGACAGUACCAGUUUAAUUCCUUGUUAGGUCUAUUGCAUGAUGGUGGUUUUUUUAGCAUGAUUAAACCCUUAUUUAAGGCAGGGCUUGCAGAGUUUGGCAGUAGAUCUUGGAGAUAGAGAGGGCUGCUCUGCUCUGGGAAGUGGAGGGGGAAACCUGAAAGCAGUGGAAGAGUACUGGGUCUGCUCUUCUGCAAAAUAAAAAACCACAGCAUGUGAGUAAUCCGAUCUUCAGUCAUCAAAGUAUGUGUUCAAGUCAUUCUCAGAAUAAUGAUGGGAUUACUCACAGGGGGAAGGUUAAGUGCUUUUGCUGAACUCAUACAUCUCAACAGAAGCCACAGUAUUCUAUGCAGGUCUUUCUGGAGGUUUUCUCUGCAAACACUAGAACACCCGCAGGAUUGUAAGGAACAUAAAGACUCCUUUCUGCUUUCUAUGUAAUUAUCUCAGAGAAACUACCUAAACUUAAAUUUACUGAUUUUUGCUUGCUUCAAAGCAUGUUAAUCCUCAUAUAGGAUAUUAUUUUCUCCUAAUACCAGGACCAAAUUCUAGGACAGUGGAGUGAAGAAAUAAAAUCUUUUAUAACGGGAUAUAAACCAUUAUUCUGGUUUCAGAAGUCAUUGAAACUAAUAAAACUGUGCAGAUAUAAUUGAAAAAUAUGACCAUUAAUUUCUACAGCAUAUAGAAUAUCUACAGUAAUAUAAAUAUCUUUCUGGGUGGGUACAUGGCAAAGAUCAAGGAAGACUUAUUUUGAUGAGACCAUGCCAUGAGAAUGAGGGCCUAAACACUGAUUUCAAACCAGGGAGGACUGAAUUCACACAACUCAGGAAAGAGAGGGCUGUCUGAAACUCAACGUGCAGAAGUUCCUGUGCUGCUCCCCUGAAACCAAGGGUGGUCAAGCAAAGGAGAUGCAGAUCCUCAGACAAGGAAGAAACCCACAGGUCUAGAGAUAGACUGACAAAUAAAAGGGAGGUGUGAGAAAGCCAUGAAAGAAGCAGCCAGAAUGACGCAUUCUUAUCCAUCAGUUUUCUAUGGUCCAGAGUCAUAAAGCAGAACCACUGCACCAACAGUAGUGUUGAUGCACACAUGAGGUGUAGCAGCAGUGGGAUGUUUUGACACUUUGACUAAAACUAUUACAAAUAACUCUUCUAUAGAUCAGUGUCCUCCAGCUACCAUCUUUUAAAUUACAUUUUUCUAACUGGUUUUGUGUGAUAUAAUAAGGAAAAAAUGAGUUAUAGAUAUAUAUCUAUGAGAAAAUGGUGAAUAGGAACCGUUUCUAUCAAAAAUUAAUAACUAAAUCCACUUCUGUGUAGAGAGUCUGAAUAAGAGCUAUAUGCCAUUUAUUCUUUUCCACUGAGGACUAUGAAGACCUUGAUAGAGGCAUUUGGCAAAGUUGCUGGUCUGGUUCUUAGAAGUUAUGAAAAAUCUGAUGCUAGAUCUGAGCUAAGUGAGAAAGGGAGCACUGAAAAAAAUGGUGUGGAAUGAAUAUGACUUUAAAUGGGAUCAGGCAGUUUAGUUUUACCUAAACUAAAACAGCAGUAGAUCCAGUGAACACUUCUUUUUCUAAACCCCUAAUAAAAAUACAUUUGCCAUUCAACAGAAUGAAUAUACAAACUAUUUGCAUAUUUUGCAAACUUAGUAUUAUUUUUUCAGUCAGAAGCUGUGCCACAGAAUACUUUCCUUUGUUAGCAAUGGCACCAUUUCUAGUAGAAAACUUGAAAAAAAAAAAAAAAAGAAUAAAUUAGUUUAAAAUUAUUGAUAUGACCUGAUGCAAUGUUAAGGCUUCUCUCUUGAA